UCGGAGAAUACAAUCAAAUAAACAAACGCAACAUUCGUUCCUAGUUCCAGGUACAGAAUUGAAGGAAUCGUUCCAGGUUCAACGCCGACGAGGUUGACGAGGACAUUGUCGUCGAUCAGAGACUGAAAAUCUACCAUUGAAAGAUGAACGAGCACCAACAAACUAACAGAGAGAGCCCCUCUCUCUUCUCCAAUCUCCCUGAGGAGUUGAUUCCACAAAUUCUGCUGAGGUUACCAAUGAGAUCUCUUCUCCGUUUCAAAUCGGUCUGCAAAUCGUGGUUGUCUCUCAUUUCCGAUUCCAAAUUUGGUAAAUCUCACUAUGACCUAGCUGCUUCGCCCACUCACCGAUGUCUUACUAAAGGGCUCGUGAUACUGACCCCCUAGUGAUGUUGAGUUCGUGGGUUCUUGUAGAGGGUUUAUUCUUGUAGCCUAUCCACAAGGUGAUGUCAUUGUAUGGAAUCCAUCAACCAGUGAGCAGAGAAGAAUUGCAGACGACCUUGGUCUUGAUGAGAUGAUUGCUAUGUAUCCAACUGGUUUUGGGUAUGGCAAAUCAACAGAUGACUACUUGCUUGUUCUUAUGAUCGUGAUUCCUGAAGGCUAUUAUCCAGAGGAAGUACCUGAUCUUCCUACUACUAUUCACAUUUUUUCCAUGAAAACAAAAUCCUGGUCUUACCAGGAGGGUACUUAUGCUCAUCUCAAAAUUGCGGCCUUCUUGAAAGAAAUCCUGCACCGGUUGGUAACCUCUUAUGAAACUAAACUUCAUGUAAUUAUUGCCUUUCAUUUGGUACAAAGGAGUUUGUCAGAGAUUCCUUUGCCACAAGUUUUAGCCAAGGAAUUAGAAAAUAAAUAUUGGUAUAAUUUGAGGGUCAUGGAAGAAUGUCUCUCUGCCUAUGUUACCCGGGUGAUGCGGCUUCAACGGCUGACAUUUGGAUGAUGAAAGACUAUAAAGUGCAGUCAUCUUGGACUAAGUUUUUUUUUUUCUACUUGUAAUAUUCCCCGCAAUGUUAUUUAUCCAAUAUGUAUCACUUAACAUGGUGAAAUUUUUUGUUCAUAUGGCUUUGGAAGAUUAAUGAUAGUUGAUGACAAAGGAUGGCGACUUCUUGAUUAGAGCACAAAAUGGCCCAAACCCCAUAUGCUGUUUGGUGACGAAAGAGGGAAAAUACUACAUUGUGGUUUGUAUAGUGAGAGUUUACUAUCACUCCCUAAUGACUUUGUGGAAUCAAGUGAAGACGACCAUCGAACGAUUUCCUAGGAGGAGACAAGUGACGAUGACCUAUAGUAUCUGACAAUAAGAAUUAGCGUAUGCCUUGAAAGGUGCAAGAUUGCUCUACACAAUUAUGCUUAAUGUCUUGGCUUGACUUCAAAUGAUGAUAUUGCAAGAAGAGAGCUUUGCAUUUGGAAGAGAAUGUUAUUUAUACAAUUUUAAAUCUUCUCACUUCAGUAGUGUUUGCUUAGUCGUGAUUUCAGUAAGUUGGAGUCAAGGCAUGCUUUUGAUCAAUCAUAUUUUAGUGUAUGACUUAGAAAAUCCUAGCAGGACUUAGUACUUAGUACAUGGUAUUUUGUAUCUUUAUCCUUUUUCCUCUUAAUAUUGUUAUGGACUUAUUGCAGUUGCAGUUUGUUUCUCUUAAUGUCGUUUACAUGGUUUUCAAAAUCAAUCUCUACUUAUUUGUACUGUGUUUAGUAACUUCCUCUACAAAAUUUA